AGCGAACGCUGGCGGCAGGCUUAACACAUGCAAGUCGAGCGGGCAUCUUCGGAUGUCAGCGGCAGACGGGUGAGUAACACGUGGGAACGUACCCUUCGGUUCGGAACAACUCUGGGAAACUGGAGCUAAUACCGGAUACGCCCUUAUGGGGAAAGGUUUACUGCCGAAGGAUCGGCCCGCGUCUGAUUAGCUAGUUGGUGGGGUAACGGCCUACCAAGGCGACGAUCAGUAGCUGGUCUGAGAGGAUGAUCAGCCACACUGGGACUGAGACACGGCUCAGACUCCUACGGGAGGCAGCAGUGGGGAAUAUUGGACAAUGGGCGCAAGCCUGAUCCAGCCAUGCCGCGUGAGUGAUGAAGGCCUUAGGGUUGUAAAGCUCUUUUGUCCGGGACGAUAAUGACGGUACCGGAAGAAUAAGCCCCGGCUAACUUCGUG
rnacentral:rRNA from 1 species